GAUGAACGCUGGCGGCGUGCUUAACACAUGCAAGUCGAACGGAACUCCUAUGAACGAGGUUUCGGCCAAGUGAAUAGGAUGUUUAGUGGCGGACGGGUGAGUAACGCGUGAGUAACCUGCCUUGGAGUGGGGAAUAACACAGUGAAAAUUGUGCUAAUACCGCAUAAUGCAUUUGGAUCGCAUGAUUCUGAAUGCCAAAGNUUUAUCGCUCUGAGAUGGACUCGCGUCUGAUUAGCUAGUUGCGGGGCAACGGCCCACCAAGGCGACGAUCAGUAGCCGGACUGAGAGUUGGCCGGCCACAUUGGGACUGAGACAGGCCCAGACUCCUACGGGAGGCAGCAGUGGGAAUAUUGGGCAAUGGGCGCAAGCCUGACCCAGCAACG
rnacentral:rRNA from 1 species